rnacentral:ncRNA from 2 species
GGAAGCCGGUGGGAUUCCGGCGCGGCCGCGCCACUGUGUCCGGGGGAACCGAGAUGGUCCGCCGGUAAGCCAGAC